UACGUAGGGUGCGAGCGUUGUCCGGAAUUACUGGGCGUAAAGAGCUCGUAGGUGGUUUGUCGCGUUGUUCGUGAAAACUCACAGCUCAACUGUGGGCGUGCGGGCGAUACGGGCAGACUGGAGUACUGCAGGGGAGACUGGAAUUCCUGGUGUAGCGGUGGAAUGCGCAGAUAUCAGGAGGAACACCGGUGGCGAAGGCGGGUCUCUGGGCCGAUACUGACGCUGAGGAGCGGAAAGCGUGGGGAGCAACAGG
rnacentral:rRNA from 1 species